rnacentral:rRNA from 1 species
ACUACGGGUGGCAGCAGUGGGGGAUAUUGCACAAUGGGGGGAACCCUGAUGCAGCGACGCCGCGUGGGUGAAGGAGCGUUUCGGCGCGUAAAGCCCUAUCGGCAGGGAAGAAGAAGGACGGUACCUGACUAAGAAGCCCCGGCUAACUACGUGCCAGCCGCCGCGGUAAUACGGAGGGGGCAAGCGUUAUUCCGAUUUACCGGGUGUUAAGGGGGCGUAGACGGCAGCGCAAGCCAGGAGUGAAAGCCCGGGGCCCAACCCCCGGACUGCUCUUGGAACUGCGUGGUUGGAGUGCAGGAGGGGCAGGCGGAAUUCCUGGUGUAGCGGUGAAAUGCGUAGAGAUCAGGAGGAACACCAGUGGCGAAGGCGGUCUGCUGGACUGCGACUGACGUUGAGGCCCGAAAGCGUGGGGAGCAAACAGGAUUAGAUACCCGUGUAGUC